rnacentral:misc_RNA from 1 species
AACACUGUUAACCUGCGGUACCUGCGGAGGGAUCAUUACAGAGUUGCAAAACUCCCUAAACCAUUGUGAACGUUACCUAAACCGUUGCUUCGGCGGGCGGCCCGGGUCCUUCCCGGCGCCCAUCGGCCCUCGCGGGCGCCCGCCGGAGGUAAACCAAACUAUUGCAUUGUAUGGCCUCUCUGAGUCUUCUGUACUGAAUAAGCCAAAACUUUCAGCAACGGAUCUCAGAUCGGAAGAGCA